rnacentral:rRNA from 1 species
GAUGAACGCUGGCGGCGUGCCUAAUACAUGCAAGUCGAACGAAACUUCUUUAUCACCGAGUGCUUGCACUCACCGAUAAAGAGUUGAGUGGCGAACGGGUGAGUAACACGUUGGCAACCUGCCCAAAAGAGGGGGAUAACACUUCGAAACAGGUGCUAAUACCGCAUAACCAUAUUUACCGCAUGGUACCUAUGUAAAAGGUGGCUAUACUACCGCUCUUGGUUGGGGCCGCGGCGCAUUAGCUAGUUGGUAGGGUCAAGGCUUACCAAGGCAUUGAUGGGUAGCCGCAUGGAUAGGUUGGUCGGCCACCUUGGGAGUGAGACCCGGCCCAUAGUCCUAGGGGAGGCGGCAGUAGGGAUUCGUGCGGCAGGGGCGGAAGACUGAUGGCGCAACGCGGAGUGGGUGAAGAAGGUCUUCGGAUCGUAAAACACUGUUGUUAGGGAAGAAAGUGCGUGCGAGUAACUGUUCACGUGUCGACGGUAUCUAAGCAGAAAGCCACGGCUAACUACGUG